GGCUAUUCCAUGCGAGAAAUUGCCAAGAAACUGAAGAUCUCUUACAACGCUGCGUACUACUCCCUUCACAGAACAGCGCAAACUGGCUCUAACCAGAACAGAAAGAGGAGUGGGAGGCCCUGGUGCACAACUGAGCAAGAGGACAAGUACAUUAGAGUGUCUAGUUUGAGAAACAGACUUCUCACAAGUCCUCAACUGGCAGCUUCAUUAAAUAGUACCCGCAAAACACCAGUCUCAAAGUCAGCAUCCCGGAGUCACCUCUUCACGUUGACGUUGAGACGUGAUAGCCCGC
rnacentral:lncRNA from 1 species